rnacentral:rRNA from 1 species
GAGACAGCAGCAGCCGCGGUAACACAGAGGGUGCGAGCGUUAAUCGGAUUUACUGGGCGUAAAGCGUGCGUAGGCGGCUUUUUAAGUCGGAUGUGAAAUCCCUGAGCUUAACUUAGGAAUUGCAUUCGAUACUGGGAAGCUAGAGUAUGGGAGAGGAUGGUAGAAUUCCAGGUGUAGCGGUGAAAUGCGUAGAGAUCUGGAGGAAUACCGAUGGCGAAGGCAGCCAUCUGGCCUAAUACUGACGCUGAGGUACGAAAGCAUGGGGAGCAAACAGGAUUAGAUACCCGAGUAGUCCCUGUCUCUUAUAC